rnacentral:rRNA from 1 species
UGCCGCGUGAGUGAAGAAGGCUUCGGGUGUAAAGCUCUUUCGGCCGGGAAGAAAUCGCACAGGUUAAUACCCUGUGUGGAUGACGGUACCGGAAUAAGAAGCACCGGCUAACUACGUGCCAGCAGCCGCGGUAAUACGUAGGGUGCGAGCGUUAAUCGGAAUUACUGGGCGUAAAGCGUGCGCAGGCGGUUUUGUAAGACAGGCGUGAAAUCCCCGGGCUCAACCUGGGAACUGCGUUUGUGACUGCAAGGCUAGAGUAUGGCAGAGGGGGGUGGAAUUCCACGUGUAGCAGUGAAAUGCGUAGAGAUGUGGAGGAACACCGAUGGCGAAGGCAGCCCCCUGGGCCAAUACUGACGCUCAUGCACGAAAGCGUGGGUAGCAAACAGGAUUAGAUACCCUGGUAGUCCACGCCCUAAACGAUGUCAACUAGGUGUUGGGAGGGUAAAACCUUUUAGUACCGGAGCUAACGCGUGAAGUUGACCGCCUGGGGAGUACGGCCGCAAGGUUAAAAACUCAAAAGGAAUUGACGG